rnacentral:pre_miRNA from 1 species
AACCUUCUGUAUCCGUGCUGAGAUAUCGCCACACACCAGACAACAAGGCUUGAUGAAACUCCCAAGAUAAGUGAAGCG